GUGGCGAUGUCCUUGGCAGGGGCCUCGCAGCGGAAGACGUGGCACUUGAGCAUCUGCGUCAGCUGGUCCCGCGCCACGUAGGCGAAGUCCCUGCCACUGUCACGCCCCACACCCCAGACGCGGAUGCUGGCCACGGGCUGUGCAUGCAGCAGGCUCUGGUCCUGCGGGUCCACCAGCUUCAGCGUCUGGCUCUGCAGGAUUAGCAGCAUGGCCCGGCCCCCCCCCCAUGCGCCGGGCGCGUCGUGCUGGUGCAGGGACAGCUGGCGGAUGCAGUUGUUGACAGCAACGCUGCUCCUGCCAGGUGCCAACUCCUCCUCGCUCAUCU
rnacentral:lncRNA from 1 species